rfam:Anas platyrhynchos breed Pekin duck contig77334, whole genome shotgun sequence.
AAACAGGCUGUUUUCACAGCUACUCAUAUAAUCCUUUGCCUAAAAG